AACAAUAAACAUGAUUCAUAAAAAAACACACACACAAACACUAUCCAUGUAUGAUGUAACAGAGCAUAUUUUAUCAGUAAGAUCAGCCACACAAGCACUCACAAACAUUAGAAUCUUAUCCCAUUGCACACUUACAAAGAAUUCUCACCAAAGCAACCUAUAAACUUGCUAUACUAAUACUAGCACAAUCAUCAGUUCAAUUCACUAUUAAUCCAGCUCAACACAAGUCAACAAAAUUCUUGUCGUUAGAAACACUGGACAAACUUACCUGAACCAGAUUAACUGAGUGGAUUAGACUAAGCAAUUCAACAAACACAUGGUAAGCAUACCAACCCAACAAGUAUAGUUUAAUUUUUUUAUUUAUUAUCAUAUAUGAUCAAAUCUAGAAAGUAUUAGUAGGGAUAGUAGGCUGCUUGUUUACCUCGUUGCAGGAUUAACCAAUCUAAGCAGAGAAUUAUUAGGAACAACCACAUCAGAAAUAGGUGUCCUCAAUGCCUUGUCCUGAUUCUCAAGACACUAAUCAGUCAAUUUCAACUAACACUAAUGGAAAAAAAUAUUAAGAGAUUUAGUACUUGCGUAUUAAUCUUCAUUUGUGAGAAAUCGAGAAGGAAUUAUUUGAUUUUUAAAGGUAUGCUUCUAAAUCUUAGCUUUUGAGGACAGCAAGAACUUGUUGUUAUCAAAUAUGGUGAUUGUAUUCUCCCAAUUGAAGAGUUACGAACAUUGCUAUGAUCCUAUGGAGUUAAGAAUUCGUAAUUAUAACCUAACUUCAUAACAAAUUUAAUGAUCAAUUAUGUCUCUUCCAAAAUCCUAGCUAUUUGACUUUCAUUUAUGCAGAAUUUCAAAUCAAGUCAAACGAAGUGUAUUUAUCAAUAAGUGUUACUAUGCAGAGAAGCUAUGAUAAUCAAGUCAAGCACCGAGAAGAAGUGGAUGACGAUGGCUAGCACUCUAUUGCAGAAACGACGAACAAUUGUGAUUGUGAUGAUGAUCUCCACCGCUUUCGACCUCCUGGUUCCUCAAGUUUUGAAUCCCCA
rnacentral:lncRNA from 1 species